GAUGAACGCUGGCGGCGUGCCUAAUACAUGCAAGUCGAGCGAACAGACGAGGAGCUUGCUCCUCUGACGUUAGCGGCGGACGGGGGAGUAACACGUGGAUAACCUACCUAUAAGACUGGGAUAACUUCGGGAAACCGGAGCUAAUACCGGAUAAUAUAUUGAACCGCAUGGUUCAAUAGUGAAAGACGGUUUUGCUGUCACUUAUAGAUGGAUCCGCGCCGCAUUAGCUAGUAGGUAAGGUAACGGCUUACCAAGGCAACGAUGCGUAGCCGUCCUGAGAGGGUGAUCGGCCACACUGGAACUGAGACACGGUCCAGACUCCUACGGGAGGCAGCAGUAGGGAAUCUUCCGCAAUGGGCGAAAGCCUGACGGAGCAACGCCGCGUGAGUGAUGAAGGUCUUCGGAUCGUAAAACUCUGUUAUUAGGGAAGAACAAAUGUGUAAGUAACUAUGCACGUCUUGACGGUACCUAAUCAGAAAGCCACGGCUAACUACGUG
rnacentral:rRNA from 1 species